GCUCCGGCCACGGGACCCACAGACUGAAGGACUCACAACCCCGCUCCUCCCCUGGCUGGGUGCCCGGGCCCGCCCCUCCCACUUCCACUGCCAGGAAAGAGUGAGUCCGACUGGAGUUGGUUUACAGAGAAUAGAAACAGUAUUCUUGUUUGCAUGCCAAGAUUCCUAUCCGCUACACCUGUCUGUGUACAUCCCCAAUACAGAGCUGAAACCUGUGUGCCCCAUUCAGAACUGGAUCUUCCUGGCCCAGCGUGGUGCCUGGCACAUAGGAUGCCUGGAUUGAUGGCGGAGUCAUGCAGUGCCACCACAGGAGACAGGGACAUACAACCUGGAGCACACAGUGGGAAGCUGAGGCGUGGGGGGAGGGUCUGUCCCUGCUCUUGUCUACUUAGGAGCUGGG